UACGUAGGGUGCGAGCGUUGUCCGGAAUUACUGGGCGUAAAGAGCUCGUAGGUGGUUUGUCGCGUUGUUCGUGAAAACCGGGGGCUUAACCCUCGGCGUGCGGGCGAUACGGGCAGACUUGAGUACUGCAGGGGAGACUGGAAUUCCUGGUGUAGCGGUGGAAUGCGCAGAUAUCAGGAGGAACACCGGUGGCGAAGGCGGGUCUCUGGGCAGUAACUGACGCUGAGGAG
rnacentral:rRNA from 1 species